GACGAACGCUGGCGGCGUGCCUAAUACAUGCAAGUCGAACGCAGUGGGGACGGGUGAGUAACACGUGGGUAACCUCCCCAUCAGAGGGGAGAACACUUGGAAACAGGUGCUAAACCGCUACUGGUGGCUGGAGCAGCGGGGCAUUAGCCAGUUGGUGAGGUAACGGCUCACCAAUGCCACGAGGCAUAGCCGACCUGAGAGGGGGAUCGGCCACACUGGGACUGAGACACGGCCCAGACUCCUACGGGAGGCAGCAGUAGGGAAUCUUCGGCAAUGGACGAAAGUCUGACCGAGCAACGCCGCGUGAGUGAAGAAGGUUUUCGGAUCGUAAAACUCUGUUGUUAGAGAAGCGGUAUCUAACCAGAAAGCCACGGCUAACUACGUGCCAGCCGCCGCGGUAAUUC
rnacentral:rRNA from 1 species